GCUAAAAACCUAGCCCAACCAAAAUGAAUUUCACCAUAUUAAUUAACCUUACUUAAUAAAUCAUUUUAAUACUUUAGUAAAGGAGAUUGAAAAAUUCUAUUGGAGCUAUAAUAAUAGUACCGCAAGGGAAAGGUGAAAUACUCAAUGAAAAACUUUUAAGCAAUAAAAAGUAAAGACUACCCCUUGUACCUUUUGCAUCAUGGUUUAACUAGUCUAAUCAAGCAAAACGUAUUUUAGUUUGACUUCCCGAAACUAAGUGAGCUACUUCAGGGCAGCUAAAAGAGCGAACCCGUCUCUGUAGCAAAAGAGUGGGAUGACCCUUAAGUAGCGGUGACAGACCUAACGAACUUAGUGAUAGCUGGUUACUCAAGAAAUGGAUCUAAGUCCAACCUGAAACCUACAGCUAGUAUAUCAAAACAGCUACCUAAAUUUUCAGAGUAAUUCAAAUAAGGUACAGCCUAUUUGAAACAGGACACAACCUAGACUUAUGGAUAAGAUUUGCCAUUUACAUAAUCAAGUGGGCCUAAAAGCAGCCAUCUUUAAAAAAGCGUCAAAGCUUAAUUAUUAUAACGCCUAAUUACUUAAUUUUUAUCUUAAUCCCUUAUCAAUACUGAGUAAUUCUAUACUUCUAUAGAAGAUUCUAUGUUAAAACUAGUAACAAGAAGAAGACCCUUCUCUUUAAUGCAAGUGUAAAUCAGAAAGGACAAACCACUGAUACUUAACGUCACUGAACCAAGAGUAAAAACUAAUCAAGAAAACCCUACUCUUACUAACGUUAAACUAACACAAGAGCAUUUCAAGAAAGAUUAAAAGAAAAAGAAGGAACUCGGCAAAUAUUAACCUCGCCUGUUUACCAAAAACAUCGCCUCUUGAGUACCAAUAAGAGGUCCAGCCUGCCCAGUGACAAUGUUCAACGGCCGCGGUAUCCUAACCGUGCGAAGGUAGCGUAAUCACUUGUUCUUUAAAUGUGGACUAGUAUGAAUGGCACCACGAAGGUUAUACUGUCUCCUUUUUCUAAUCAGUGAAACUAAUCUCCCCGUGAAGAAGCGGGGAUGAAAUUAUAAGACGAGAAGACCCUAUGGAGCUUUAAACAACAUAGCACUUGCCCUACAAUAUAUAAAUUCCUGAAAAUUUUAAUUUACUGGCAACAUGACUAUAAGUUUUUGGUUGGGGUGACCGCGGAGCAUAACACAACCUCCACGUUGAAAUAAAUCUUUUUAAGCCAAGACUCACAAGUCUAAGCAUCAUUAUAAUGACAUCCAUUGACCCAAUAUACUUGAUCAACGAACCAAGUUACCCUAGGGAUAACAGCGCAAUCCACUUCAAGAGCUCCUAUCGACAAGUGGGUUUACGACCUCGAUGUUGGAUCAGGGUAUCCCAGUGGUGCAGCCGCUACUAAAGGUUCGUU
rnacentral:rRNA from 1 species